rnacentral:lncRNA from 1 species
UUCCACAAGAACCAAAAACAACUAUAAAAGACGUGUUCGGGAUUCCUCUAUCUGAAUAUCUCACCUUCUUUGAAAUAUAAAAACCUUCAAGUUGUACCGGUCCUGAAAUACUGUCCUUUGGCGAAGUUUGUUCUUCCGGCAACUAUCUAGCGUCACCGAUAAACCUCCGUUUCAUUUCAAAAGGAUUUCGCGAUCGUCUAGCCAUAAAUUGUUAUAUCAAGUCGAUCAUUGCUUAAGGUGAUCAAGAUUUCUGGGACAGGAUAAGGAAGAGUGUUCAAGUGUUUGGAAAAGACCGUAGAAACAAAUGUAUUGGAUUAGAUAUCCUAUUUCCAUUAAGUGGGAGAUUUCGAGAUCAAGACCACAAAAGGAGUUCGAGUUCCGGUUGCACGGUGAAGUGAUUUCAUUUGAAUUCUUGGAAUCUUAG